CUUAUUCCUCUAAUUCGUCUCUUAAACUUAGAACAUAUCCAUUCCCUUCUCUUAUCCUCAACCUUCGAACCCUAACCCCUUCGGCGAGUCACAAUGCAGUCCGUCAAGGCUCCAGCAAAGCCUACCGAAUUGCUUCUCCAGUAUACAGAGCUCACGCAUAGCCUAGGGUAACAGUGAUGCAACAACUGCAUUUGUAAAUGAUGGCAUUUAUUUGGAGAAGUAUGUCCAAGAUCCUAGGCAAAUUGAAUUUCAGGAAUCUCCAAACUUCAGCUCAAAUGGUAGAAAAAAUACUGUGAAGCAUCAAAUGAAAGGGUAGACGAGCAGUGAAGACCAUACUUAGGAGUAUUGGUUGAUCGUUUCUAGACGUUUAGAUAUUCUAGGAAUUUUUUGUUUAGAACUCUGUAAACUUAUAUAUGAAAACUCUUGAAUUGUCAAACGAUAGUGUAUGUUUUGCUUUUAUUUAUUUAUGGAUAAUGCUAGUACUAGUUAAAUAUUUUGGAAUAUAUUUUUA